rnacentral:misc_RNA from 1 species
GAUGAAGAACGUAGCGAAAUGCGAUAAGUAAUGUGAAUUGCAGAAUUCAGUGAAUCAUCGAAUCUUUGAACGCACAUUGCGCCCGCCAGUAUUCUGGCGGGCAUGCCUGUUCGAGCGUCAUUUCAACCAUCAAGCCCCCGGCUUGUGUUGGGGACCUGCGGCUGCCGCAGGCCCUGAAAACCAGUGGCGGGCUCGCUAGUCACUCCGAGCGUAGUAAUACAUCUCGCUCAGGGCGUGCUGCGGGUUCCGGCCGUUAAAAGCCUUAUUUACCCGAGGUUGACCUCGGAUCAGGUAGGAAGACCCGCUGAACUUAAGCAUAUCAAUAAGCGGAGG